AUGUUUUCGCAGGGCGCCGCCGACGUUCCAUGCACUCUCCUGCACUUCGUGGGCGGCGAGUUGAUCGAUGUCGCCAAGGGCAGAAUCGUUCAACCGGGCAACCCCGUGUUCCACGGUAAUCCGAUGCCACCCACCGUGUAUAGGGUUGAACUGGUUCGGGUGCUGCCAGGCUGCGACGAGUUGUUACCUCCGAUUCGACCCGCUGGGGCCGACGAAGAUGAUGUGAUGACCCUCAGCGCCUUUGUAAGCUGGCCCCUGCUUUGGCCGAAGAGCCAGAUUCGUUUGGGGGCGGGGGACACCACCCCACAGACAACACCGCCAGUCGUGUCGGUGCCAAGCCAUGGCAAGACCGCCGCAACGCUACUGGACAUGCCGGACAUCCCUAUGGCACAGGAUCCGGACAUGCAUAUGGCACAGGAUCCAGACGACGACGACAACGACGACGGUACAUUUGCCAACGUCGAUAAGUACUUUGCCGAACAUGGGUACGGUGACGAAUUCUUCGGGCCUCCUUCUCAAGAACCCAACCCUGAAAAAGACGACCGCAAUCUAGCUGGUACCACGGAGAAACUCAAUUGCAAUAGGCGUCGUCUGGCGUUCAGUUCUCAGGAGACGCCUCUAGCUGCCGCCUUCACCGAGCCUCAGAUAGCCGAGGUAUGGAAUAUUAUCAGCCCCAACACACUCAAGAAGGCGGUCUCUGAGCAGAGCUCGAUCCCAUUACAGGAGAUGAGGAAGAAGGGACGGAAACGAAAGAAUAACAAGGGCGGUGCGAGCCAGCCGGCACCGAGUACGAUCCGUGCUCAGGACGGGCCACCUUCACGUAAGGAUAUCUCGAGGAGGGUGCAUGUGGCGGGUAGGCCGAUGCUACCGACUAAUCUGCUCAAUGCUGCAACCGGUGCUAUGCGGAGUCUGCAUGACAGUGUUCUUUCUUUGGAGAAGCGGCGUCUCUCCGAGAAUGAUGUGGCAUACCCGGUUUUCGUGGCCAAGGUGCCAGAGGGCAAGGGCUUUGUGGAUAGCGCCAUCAGGGGUACGAUCGUCCUGCGGUUUGAUGACAUCUUCGCUAUGUUUAACCUUCAUCCGCUGCACUACACCUUCGUUCGGCUAUUUUCGCUGAGUAUGGAGAUGCGGAUCAUUAGAGACAAGACCCCGGACAUCGUGAUAGUCGACCCCUUCUACAUGCGUGCCAAGAUCUUGGGCAGCGCUGGGGACCGGCAAGUCGCGAGUUCAUACCUCGAAGGCGUCAUUCUGGCAAACCCAGAUAAGGAUAACUUCCUCGUGCCUUACUUUCCCGAGUAA
rnacentral:rRNA from 1 species